rnacentral:lncRNA from 1 species
AGGGGCCUCCCAGCUGUUAACAAAAGACACAGCAAAGUUAUGGCUCCACGAUGAGAGGAAAGUACAUUCAGUUUCCUAUAGGCAAGAACUAGUGUUACUACCAACAGAACUUCGUGAGCGGGACUCCUAAAUACUAUACCUCAGGAAGGAGGAAACUGAGCCCAGAAGGAAGCUCAAAGAGUAGGAAAGGAAGGAAAAAAGCUGACACUUUUACCCGGAUGCUUUAAAUGUUCCUAACAAAUAACAAAUCUAACGUCUACAACGUGGUGCUGGAAAGAGAUCUGAACUAAGAUGCUUGGCAAGAACAGCAUACAAUUCUAGAGACUGGUGGCACUGAAGUACUCAGAGGAUACCCCUCGGAUAUCGCCUGAACUCGCAGAACACACAGGGAUUCAUGGCCCCCUGUCACCUGGACAAGCACCAGGACUUCCCGCCGCUUCCUCCCACCCUAACCCUUCCUUAAGACACUCCCUCCAACACUGUGAUUUAGAUAGGGGAGUAGUCCUUGUAACAGAAUGAAUGCCCCCUGGAGGCAGGGUGGUUUCCCCGAGCGAGGAGGAGGAGGAGGAGGAGGAGGAGGAGGAGGAGGAGGAGGAGGAGGAGGAGGAGCUGCAGCAGGGAGCAGGCUUCCAGGAGGAGGAAGGUGUUCUGGCAGCUGAAACCCUAGCCAAGACUAGAAAGUAAUCCCUUCAUCCUAACUGCAGGCCAGGCGUGGUUCUGUGUGUGGAAGGCUUUUCUGGAGAGGGCUCUGUUUGACUGGUAAACAGGCUUUGAGAUUAGCAAUUUGUAAAGUGGCUACAUGAACUGGUCGGCAAGGAUGUGUUUGCCCUUCUGGGGUUUACCAAAUGUGAAAAGUCCGUUUGGCAGAAAAGCCCAACUUCCUGCUAGAGGCUCUGGCAGAUGGAACUGGACCAUCCCAACCCUUAGAACCCAUCCCAGCAAGGUCAGCUCUGGAUAAAUUACUGAAAGAAAUCUUAAAUG